GACGAACGCUGGCGGCGUGCUUAACACAUGCAAGUCGAACGGAAAGGCCCUGCUUGCAGGGUACUCGAGUGGCGAACGGGUGAGUAACACGUGGGUGAUCUGCCCUGCACUUCGGGAUAAGCCUGGGAAACUGGGUCUAAUACCGGAUAGGAGCCAUUUUUAGUGUGAUGGUUGGAAAGUUUUUUCGGUGUAGGAUGAGCUCGCGGCCUAUCAGCUUGUUGGUGGGGUAAUGGCCUACCAAGGCGGCGACGGGUAGCCGGCCUGAGAGGGUGGACGGCCACAUUGGGACUGAGAUACGGCCCAGACUCCUACGGGAGGCAGCAGUGGGGAAUAUUGCACAAUGGGCGCAAGCCUGAGGCAGCGACGCCGCGUGGGGGAUGACGGCCUUCGGGUUGUAAACUCCUUUCGCUAGGGACGAAGCUUUUUGUGACGGUACCUAGAGAAGAAGCACCGGCUAACUACGUG
rnacentral:rRNA from 1 species